rnacentral:rRNA from 1 species
AUUGAACGCUGGCGGCAGGCCUAACACAUGCAAGUCGAACGGCAGCACGGGAGCAAUCCUGGUGGCGAGUGGCGAACGGGUGAGUAAUAUAUCGGAACGUGCCCAGUCGUGGGGAUAACGUAGCGAAAGCUACGCUAAUACCGCAUACGAUCUAUGGAUGAAAGCGGGGGAUCGCAAGACCUCGCGCGAUUGGAGCGGCCGAUAUCAGAUUAGGGUAGUUGGUGAGGUAAAGGCUCACCAAGCCGACGAUCUGUAGCUGGUCUGAGAGGACGACCAGCCACACUGGGACUGAGACACGGCCCAGACUCCUACGGGAGCAGCAGUGAGGAAUAUUGGACAAUGGGCGAAAGCCUGAUCCAGCCAUGCCGCGUGUGUGAAGAAGGUCUUCGGAUUGUAAAGCACUUUAAGUUGGGAGGAAGGGUAGUAACCUAAUACGUUGCUACUUUGACGUUACCGACAGAAUAGCACCGGCUAACUUCGU